UGGGGAAUAUUGCACAAUGGCGCAAGCCUGAUGCAGCCAUGCCGCGUGUGUGAAGAAGGCCUUCGGGUUGUAAAGCACUUUCAGUCAGGAGGAAAGGUUAGUAGUUAAUACCUGCUAGCUGUGACGUUACUGACAGAAGAAGCACCGGCUAACUCCGUGCCAGCAGCCGCGGUAAUACGGAGGGUGCGAGCGUUAAUCGGAAUUACUGGGCGUAAAGCGUACGCAGGCGGUUUGUUAAGCGAGAUGUGAAAGCCCCGGGCUCAACCUGGGAACUGCAUUUCGAACUGGCAAACUAGAGUGUGAUAGAGGGUGGUAGAAUUUCAGGUGUAGCGGUGAAAUGCGUAGAGAUCUGAAGGAAUACCGAUGGCGAAGGCAGCCACCUGGGUCAACACUGACGCUCAUGUACGAAAGCGUGGGGAGCAAACAGGAUUAGAUACCCUGGUAGUCCACGCCGUAAACGAUGUMUACUAGAAGCUCGGAACCUCGGUUCUGUUUUCAAAGCUAACGC
rnacentral:rRNA from 1 species